UCUCCAAUCAACAGGUCUCUUUUGUGCAUCUCAAAUUAGCAGGUCUUCUCUCCUGCCCCUCCCCAGAUCCCUAAUUUUCACAUAUAGUCUCUGAUCAAUGGAAAUGGCUCACUCUGCUUGUCUCCACUCCAGAUCUGCUCGACCGGCAAAUCUCUCUCCCCCUCCCCCUCNNNNNNNNNNNNNNNNNNNNNNNNNNNNNNNNNNNNNNNNNNNNNNNNNNCCCCCCCCCCCACCCCCACCCCCACCUUUUCUCUUUUCUCAGUUUUCUCAAAUGUCAGGACCAGGUAUAUACAUCUAAUCAUUGUAUAGUUUUAUUGUUAUUUUGGGGGUUUUUUGUUGUGUGCGUUCUACAGUAUUUGACUUAUAAUCUUGGAUUUUAUGUGUGGUCUUUUGUGGGGUUGUAAUGAUUGAUUUGUUUCUGGUUUUCUACAUGUUCUCCCUGUUUCGUAAUACAUGCCCUAUUUUAUUAUUACUGGAGUUUGUUUGUUCUAGAUAAUCGGUGUUUGCGCAGUUUGUUCUCAACUUUUGAGCUUGCUUUGUGUUUUGAUUUGAGAAAUCUGUGUGUAUUGAUUUUAGGGAUAAAAAUAUGUAGUUCAAAAUCUGUUGGCGGAUGACAAAGUGAGCAUCCCUUGGCAAAGUGAGUAUUUGUUGGCGGAAUUCAUUUUGUGUGAAAUCCAGUUGAGUAUCCCGAAAAUGCAGGUCAGAUUUGUCUUGGAUAAUAGUAGAUGAUUAAUCUAGAACUACAUAAAUUAAAAGUAAACAGAGGAGCAUGCUUGUAUAUUUUUAGUGUUGAGAAAUGAGAAGUGUUCACCAAUUUACAAAGAGCAGAUGAGUAUAAUUUCCCCUCUGCAAAUAAGUGAAUUGAUGAGGCUUGUUUGAUGGGCUUAAGUUUGGCCCAGGCUAAAUGUGUUUGAUCAGAUGCUGCUGGCUCAGACAAUAAUCUUUUAUAUGAUGAUGUUUGUGUUGAAUAUAAUUUCUCACCUGGGCCAUAUAUUAGUCCUAAGUUUGUGUCACAUUUGCCGUUUUUAACUGCUGAUCAAUGAUCAUUCAUUUUACAUGACAUUUGUAGUAGCUGUUAGCUCUCUUCUUUCCUGAAAUUGAAAUUUAUUAUUACAUUUAUGUGGAUGUCUCAGUUUUAAUACUCACAUAUAUAUUUUUUCUAGAGAUUUUGGUAGCUUUGAUUUCUUCCCUAGUUAACAAGAAUUUCUCAUUGGAGAGUCAGGUCACUGAUUUACAGGUAAAAUAUAUACCUGUUUUUUAAGUUAGGUAUUGAACCAGUUUACGAAAUUUAAGUUCAGCUAUUAUAUUCAUAAUUUUUGGAGAUAAAUUACCUGAUACAUGAGUACAGAACUUGCAUUCACUUGCUAUCUUUGUACAUUUCCAGCACCAAAUUUACAGGCUCAAUGGGAGAUUGCAUCUUUGUAGUGGUUUGACCAGAUGGUAUAUCUAAUACAAUUUAUUGCUUUAUAAUAAGUUGUUUCAAAAUAUAGAAAUCUUUCUCGGUUACUUAGGAACACAUGAUUAGAUUUGCUUUCUCAAUCCAAGGUCAUUUAUAUUUAUCUCUUUUUCAUCUCCUUGUUAAAGUACAUUUUCAUGUUUUUGUUUUGACAGAAGUAAGGUUUGGUGAGAUGAGGAUGAAUGUGACUGCAGGAUUAGGCUUGCGAAAGCAUGAUAUGCAGUUAUGAAGAAUGAAUGGAGGCUUGUUAUGAAAAAGACUUCAUGUAUGCUUUCUGGAGUUCAAUUUGUUGAAUUUCAUCCUAUUUGUACUGUAAUUCAGCUAAGAUCGGAAUGUUGCAAGAUCCCAAGUUCUUAUAUAUAUGGUUACUAGUAAUUGUUGUUAUUAGUUGGCUGUGAAAACUUUUGUUACUAAUUUAUGACUUGC
rnacentral:lncRNA from 1 species